rnacentral:rRNA from 1 species
CCACAUCAUGUUGAAGCACCGAUUCCCAUAUGAUCACCACAGUUAAGCAAUGUUGAGCCUGGUCAGUACCUAGAUGAGUGACUGCUUGGGAAUACCCGGUGUUAUA